rnacentral:lncRNA from 1 species
CAGAGUUCCUCCUGUAAGAGUCACAUUAAUAGCAGAAAUCAGUUCUUCAUUAUUCAGGAGGAAAAGGAGAAGUAAGAAUGAGGCCCUCAUUUUCUGCUAGAUCUUAUUGCUGAACCGAUUUAACAUCUCGGAUCUUAAGCUCCACUCGAGUUCACUGAAGCUUCACAACUAUUAAAACGCUCAGGAUUCAACGGAAACAACGAAAAUAAAAUGGAAACUCAUCUACAUAACAAAGGCGGAGAGAAAGCAGGCAUCUUAUCAGCCAUCACCAGAUCUUUGCUUUUGAACAAGCACUGAAGCCUUACAGGGUGAACACAAUACAAUAGUCUGCGUCAUUAGAAGAAGACAGCCCAGAAAUCUUCAGGUCCCAGGAAGCAAGUAUCGGUUGCAUAAUUUCCUCAUGGAAACAAUUAUAGCACUUUUUGAGAACGGAGACCAGAGAAGCUUGGCCUUUAGAAACGAGGGCUUCCAG